UCCUGUGGACCUGACAGACUGGACCUUCCCGAUCUCAUCUGCCCUCAGAAGUUAAGCAUGGUUGAGCCUGGUUAGUACUUAGAUGAGAGAGAAAUUCUUUUACAUCACAGUUU
ensembl:rRNA 5S_rRNA 5S ribosomal RNA